rnacentral:rRNA from 1 species
CGGAUGAAUGGGCGAAGCCUGAUCCGCCUGCCGCGUGUGUGAAGAAGGUCUUCGGAUUGUAAAGCACUUUAAGUUGGGAGGAAGGGCUGCUGGUUAAUACCCUGCAGUUUUGACGUUACUAACCCAAUAAGCACCGGCUAACUUCGUGCCGCCAGCCGCGGUAAUACGAAGGGUGCAAGCGUUAAUCGGAAUUACUGGGCGUAAAGCGCGCGUAGGUGGUUUUGUAAAUUGGAGGUGAAAUCCCCGGGCUCAACCUGGGAACUGCCUCCAAAACUGCAUGACUAGAGUACGGUAAAGGGUGGUGGAAUUUCCUGUGUACCGGUGAAAUGCGUAUAUAUACGAAGGAACACCAGUGGCUAAGGCGACCACCUGGACUGACACUGACACUGAGGUGCGAACGCGUGGGGAGCAAACAGGAUUACAUACCCUGGUAUUCCACGCCGUAAACGAUGUCAACUAGCCGUUGGAAUCCUUGAGAUUUUAGUGGCGCAGCUAACGCAUUAAGUUGACCGCCUGGGGAGUACGGCCGCAAGGUUAAAACUCAAAUGAAUUGACGG